AUCGAAAUUUUGGUAGUGAUUUAAUCAAAAUAAAGAUGGAUAAUUAAUAAUUAUUUAUACGGAGAGAGGAAAAUUGUUCUCAUGAUUUGUUUCCCUUGUUUUCUCUCUCUACUAAAUAUAAAAAUCGAACAUCCGCUUUUCUGAAGUUGUCCUCCAGAAUCCCUAAAAAGGCCCUAUUUUCCUCUGCCACUCUCAAUCCUCGCAGAUUUUGUAUCCUGUGCGCGGGCUGGACUGGUAGGAAAUAUCGGGAAAUUUCCCAAAUUCGACACAGGGAUUAGUGAGGGUAGAAAGGUCAAAAAAAUAAAAUAAAAGCAAAGAAGAAGACAGGGAGUACUAUAAAAGGGGAAGGAUGAGUAAAAGUUAGGGCUCAACCUCAUUAGUUUAAGACUGAGGCUCCGGUGACUGUCUCGGAGGGAUGGGGAGUUUCUAAGGGUGGUUGCCCCUCUCUGAAUCUCAUGGUCGUCGGAGCCGAUGAUUCCUUCUACUACGCCCAUCAACUGCCCUUUUCCUUCGCUCUUUCUUUUCUUUCUUUUCAUACACAUGUGUGUAUAUAUAUAUAUAUAUACAUAUAUAUCAGAGGCUGUCUUGAUUCUCUGGAAAAUCAACAGCGCUCUCUCUCUCUUCAUGUGGGCAACAUAAAAGGCUGUGAUGACGUUUUCAGAGUAAGUCAGGCACUGGGAAUGUCCGUUUCUUGGCGGGGCAACCCGGAUGGUUUGUGCGAUGGGACCUUUUGUGCCUUGUUUCACAAGCAACUGUGGUUGCAGCCAUGACGGUCAUCCUUUUCUUGUCUGAUAAAAGGCGAAUCUGAGCCUUCCUUUUACGCGCUAUUCACUUCCGUGCUGAGUCUGGUCUUUGUUUUGUUUUGGUUUUUUUGUUUGUGUUUUAAAAUGUGUUUUCUGAGAAGGAUAUUGUAUCUGUUUGGUUGCUGAGAAAAUGUGCAGGAAAUUUAAGUGGCUGUGAUGACACUUUCCAAGUAAAUCAGAUAUUUGAAAGGACCCAUGUCUUGGCUGGGCGACCCGGAUUGUCUGUGAAAUGGGUUUCUAUGCCCUUUUUUCACGUGCAACUGUAGUUGCAGCCAUGGCGAAAUUGUUCUCAUGAUUUGUUUCCCUUGUUUUCUCUCUCUACUAAAUAUAAAAAUCGAAAGGGCCAUCCACUUCUCUCACUCGGGCAUCAAGAAGUCCUUUUCUGAAGUUGCCCUCCGGACGAGAGAAUCCCUAAAAAGGCCCUAUUUUCCUCUGCCACUCUCAAUCCUCGCAGGUACUAAUCUAAUCAUGUUAUUAUUAUUAUUUUUUUGCAACCCCCGUUUGAUUCUCAAGAAAAUCCAUCCCCCUUUCGAUUUCCGGGAAAAUUCAUCCUCGUUUGAUUUCCGAGAAAAUCCAUGCAAAACCCCCCACGAAAACCAAAAAAAUUGUUUUUUUCUUUGCUCCCUGUGUUUUCUGGAUCUGUUCUAGGGGUCUCUUUGCUUUUGUGCUAUUGGAUUUAAAUUUCACGAACCCUAAAUCCACGAUUUUUGAGCCAGGCUGGAAAACACGACCUUUGCCUGCAAAUCAUGAUCAGAUUACCAAAUAACAUCAUAUGUUUUAAAAAAAAUUUGUAUCCUGUGCGCGGGCUGGACUGGUAGGAAAUAUUGGGAACUUCAGAAAAGGGCUUCUCAUACACGUGUGUACAUGUACAUCAGAGGCUGUCUUGAUUCUCUGGAAAAUCAACAGCGCUCUCUCUCUGUUCAUAUGGGCAACAUAAAAGGCUGUGAUGACGUUUUCAGAGUAAGUCAGGCACUGGGAAUGUCCGUUUCUUGGCGGGGCAACCCGGAUGGUUUGGGCGACCUUUUGUGCCUUGUUUCACAAGCAACUGUGGUUGCAGCCAGGACGGUCAUCUUUUUCUUGUCUGAUAAAAGGCGAAUCUGAGCCUUCCUUUUACGCGCUAUGCACUUCCGCGCUGAGUCUGGUCUUUGUUUUGUUUUGGUUUAUUUGUUUGUGUUUUAAAAUGUGUUUUCUGAGAAGGAUCUGUAUCUAUUUGGUUGCUGAGAAAAUGUGCAGGAAAAUUAAGUGGCUGUGAUGACACUUUCCAA